rnacentral:rRNA from 1 species
ACCGCCCGUCACACCAUGGAAGUCUGCUGCACCAGAAGUAGGUAGUCUAACCGCAAGGGGGGCGCCUACCACGGUGUGGCCGAUGACUGGGGUG